GGCACGCUCUUCACGAGAGGGAAUCGACUGUCUGGUGCCAAAACAGAUUUCCUAACUUUGUAGGAGCUCACGAUUUGAAUUUUUAAUUUUAUUUAUAUAAUGUAAUUUUACAAUUCAAUGGAAAAAAAUAUUUGUUAAUGUUCAAUUAUAAAUGAAAGUGACUAAGUUUGUGUUAAAUUAAAUAUCAAGACAUCUUGUGAACUUCAUCUAAAGAUACACGCGUGGUGAAGAAGCAAUGCACCCUUUUUUUCUCGGAGUUGUUCUUUUGCGCCGAGGGCUCGCAAAUUUACACUUCACCCCUAUUCACAAAAACCAUCAUCAUAAGAUGUGUCGGAGAACGUGCCGGAAAAAGCUUCGCCUCUUUCACUCACUUAUUCAGUUACUCAGCCGAGAUAGAGAAACAUCCCACGUUGAUCAUCGCAGCAAUAAAUUAUUAGGCGGGUGCGGGAGGAGGCGUGUAAAAAAAUACGUGUGCUGCCGCAGCCUAGCGGAGAGGACGGAGCUCGUCGCUCGGCAUAGGUUGUAGUAUAUCCUGCCUGCCUGGCUAGGGGUGCGCGGCGCGGCCAGACAUUGAUGGAAUGCUGCAGACCGAAAUUACUUCCUCCCCGAAUAUUUCCUGCUCUAAUCUUAUACGGAAUGUGUUUGGAUAAUUUAUAAUCGUUACUCUAUUCGUCAACAAACACCGAGCACGGCACUGCUUGACAUUUAUAUUUUGCACCGAUUUGCAUAAACAAUCAUAAUGUCUUGUUUGUACCUUGGCUGGUAGUAAUGAAUCUAUCAAACUUUAAAAAUUAAUUUUGAGAGUAAUAGAAAAAAAAUAUUAUUAUAUUUUUAUACUGCUGAUACUUUAGUUUAAACUAUUUGAGAAAUUCAUCUCUGGUUCAGCAUAAAUUUCAAAAAAUUAUUUUUCAAUCUACAAAACCUUGCUUGAUUUAAUGUAAGGAACGGAAAAAUUUACUUUACAGAUCUAGUACAUAUCACUAAAGGAUACCGCUAUUUAAAUUAUUAAAAA